UCAACACCGUUCAAGAUUUCCUCCAGCUGUACUAAGCGGAUGCGCCUUUCUAAGAAACAAAGUGACUCUCACUCUUCGAGCACUGCUAAUUUCCCUUUUUUCCAGUUCACGUUAUUCUAAGCAUUUUUCAAUAUCAUCAAAUCGUGCUACUUCUUCUGUGUGUGAUGUUAUUUCAAGUACUUGGAGAUGGGAUCACCAAGCGGACAUCGGAGACGAUUGUCAGACAUGCCAGCCCCUGUGUGAUCAACGAUGACAAGAUGUAUUUCUACCAAGCUUUGAACAAGGCCAGUAUAGUGUUCAAUUUGGUCAUGAAAGUUGCUCAAGCAGCAGUUGAUGGCCAAAUUUACUAGUCGGUAGACAUAUUGGCCCACUCUCAGAAGAUUUUGUUGCAGAACUUGAAAUGGCUAGCUUACAAUAACAACAAUCAAUGGUGGCGCUCGAUGCCCUGCCCAGCAUCUCUCUUCUGAGAGCCCCAACCAAUUUGCCUACAGAGCCGUCAAUCGGCCCUAGCCUGCCUCUUCAUCAUCUAUUUUACACUGAGCUAAACCAAGAUAGACCAGAAGUGACCCCUGAAUUUAGUUACUCACUGGUUUCAGCAUCGUGCUGCUACAAUGUCACAGAGAUCAGACAAUUAGGUUGUUCGGGUCACAGUCAUCUCACUGCAAAAAUCUUUGAUCCGACUGUAAUUCAACAGCUUGGCAAGGGAGGACUUUUUGUCCAGUUUGAGUGCUGGCGAAAGCAGUCAUCUUCCAGGUUACACACAAGAUCUGUUUGCGCCGAACAUCCAUUUGUCUCCUGAGGAGCUUUUCCAAGUGCCAUCUCCAAUCCCUGGCAAUUUAAUGUGGACACCGGAGCAUACUUUCAUCGUUGAGUCGAGCAGCGGGGCAGAUUUUGGGAUCUGCCCAUCUUGCACGGGUUAUGGAAUCCAUAAUUCUAGGAUUGCAAGGCCCAAGGAGGCAUGGUGCAAGAUCCGUGACGUGGUGAAGUGGGGAUUGGUUCGGCGCGUUGUGGCUGCAAAGAGAAGACCAACGUUCAAUCGUGCAAGUUAUCUAGCUGUAUAAAUGGAGAGUCCCAUCCCCCAAAAGAAUUUUGGGUGCUUCAGGAGCGCAAAACUCUCGCCCACACAAGCCAGUCAUAACAUGCGAAGUACAAAAAAGAAGGAAAUUCAUGAUACUUGAUGCGAGGAGAUUGUCUUGGGGGUAUGAAAUGUCUAGUUCUAGGGGUAAGCUGUCCAGGAUGCAUCAUCAACUUAGUAUUAUGCAUGAUCACUGCGAUUUUCUCUAUUGUUUUUUGUUGAUUCUCCUUUCAUAUUUGAAUGAAGUUGUGCACCAUCAAGAUGGGGCAGCCAAUUGGACGUGUCUUCUCUC